GAAGCUGCGGGUGUCACGUAAGUGACGCGGUAGAGGAGCGUUCUGUAAGCCUGUGAAGGUGAGUUGAGAAGCUUGCUGGAGGUAUCAGAAGUGCGAAUGCUGACAUGAGUAACGACAAUGGGUGUGAAAAACACCCACGCCGAAAGACCAAGGGUUCCUGCGCAACGUUAAUCGACGCAGGGUUAGUCGGUUCCUAAGGCGAGGCUGAAAAGCGUAGUCGAUGGGAAACAGGUUAAUAUUCCUGUACUUCUGGUUACUGCGAUGGAGGGACGGAGAAGGCUAGGCCAGCUUGGCGUUGGUUGUCCAAGUUUAAGGUGGUAGGCUGAAAUCUUAGGUAAAUCCGGGGUUUCAAGGCCGAGAGCUGAUGACGAGUCGUCUUUUAGAUGACGAAGUGGUUGAUGCCAUGCUUCCAAGAAAAGCUUCUAAGCUUCAGGUAACCAGGAACCGUACCCCAAACCGACACAGGUGGUCGGGUAGAGAAUACCAAGGCGCUUGAGAGAACUCGGGUGAAGGAACUAGGCAAAAUGGCACCGUAACUUCGGGAGAAGGUGCGCCGGCUAGGGUGAAGGAUUUACUCCGUAAGCUCUGGCUGGUCGAAGAUACCAGGCCGCUGCGACUGUUUAUUAAAAACACAGCACUCUGCAAACACGAAAGUGGACGUAUAGGGUGUGACGCCUGCCCGGUGCCGGAAGGUUAAUUGAUGGGGUUAGCGCAAGCGAAGCUCUUGAUCGAAGCCCCGGUAAACGGCGGCCGUAACUAUAACGGUCCUAAGGUAGCGAAAUUCCUUGUCGGGUAAGUUCCGACCUGCACGAAUGGCGUAACGAUGGCGGCGCUGUCUCCACCCGAGACUCAGUGAAAUUGAAAUCGCUGUGAAGAUGCAGUGUAUCCGCGGCUAGACGGAAAGACCCCGUGAACCUUUACUGUAGCUUUGCACUGGACUUUGAGCCUGCUUGUGUAGGAUAGGUGGGAGGCUUUGAAGCGUGGACGCCAGUUCGCGUGGAGCCAUCCUUGAAAUACCACCCUGGCAUGCUUGAGGUUCUAACUCUGGUCCGUGAUCCGGAUCGAGGACAGUGUAUGGUGGGCAGUUUGACUGGGGCGGUCUCC
rnacentral:rRNA from 1 species